GCAAGGGGGUCAUCCCGACUUACCAACCCGAUGCAAACUGCGAAUACCGGAGAAUGUUAUCACGGGAGACACACGGCGGGUGCUAACGUCCGUCGUGAAGAGGGAAACAACCCAGACCGCCAGCUAAGGUCCCAAAGUCAUGGUUAAGUGGGAAACGAUGUGGGAAGGCCCAGACAGCCAGGAUGUUGGCUUAGAAGCAGCCAUCAUUUAAAGAAAGCGUAAUAGCUCACUGGUCGAGUCGGCCUGCGCGGAAGAUGUAACGGGGCUAAACCAUGCACCGAAGCUGCGGCAGCGACACUAUGUGUUGUUGGGUAGGGGAGCGUUCUGUAAGCCUGUGAAGGUGUGCUGUGAGGCAUGCUGGAGGUAUCAGAAGUGCGAAUGCUGACAUAAGUAACGAUAAAGCGGGUGAAAAGCCCGCUCGCCGGAAGACCAAGGGUUCCUGUCCAACGUUAAUCGGGGCAGGGUGAGUCGACCCCUAAGGCGAGGCCGAAAGGCGUAGUCGAUGGGAAACAGGUUAAUAUUCCUGUACUUGGUGUUACUGCGAAGGGGGGACGGAGAAGGCUAUGUUGGCCGGGCGACGGUUGUCCCGGUUUAAGCGUGUAGGCUGGUUUUCCAGGCAAAUCCGGAAAAUCAAGGCUGAGGCGUGAUGACGAGGCACUACGGUGCUGAAGCAACAAAUGCCCUGCUUCCAGGAAAAGCCUCUAAGCAUCAGGUAACAUUAAAUCGUACCCCAAACCGACACAGGUGGUCAGGUAGAGAAUACCAAGGCGCUUGAGAGAACUCGGGUGAAGGAACUAGGCAAAAUGGUGCCGUAACUUCGGGAGAAGGCACGCUGAUAUGUAGGUGAAGUCCCUCGCGGAUGGAGCUGAAAUCAGUCGAAGAUACCAGCUGGCUGCAACUGUUUAUUAAAAACACAGCACUGUGCAAACACGAAAGUGGACGUAUACGGUGUGACGCCUGCCCGGUGCCGGAAGGUUAAUUGAUGGGGUUAGCGGUAACGCGAAGCUCUUGAUCGAAGCCCCGGUAAACGGCGGCCGUAACUAUAACGGUCCUAAGGUAGCGAAAUUCCUUGUCGGGUAAGUUCCGACCUGCACGAAUGGCGUAAUGAUGGCCAGGCUGUCUCCACCCGAGACUCAGUGAAAUUGAACUCGCUGUGAAGAUGCAGUGUACCCGCGGCAAGACGGAAAGACCCCGUGAACCUUUACUAUAGCUUGACACUGAACAUUGAGCCUUGAUGUGUAGGAUAGGUGGGAGGCUUUGAAGUGUGGACGCCAGUCUGCAUGGAGCCGACCUUGAAAUACCACCCUUUAAUGUUUGAUGUUCUAACGUUGACCCGUGAUCCGGGUUACGGACAGUGUCUGGUGGGUAGUUUGACUGGGGCGGUCUCCUCCUAAAGAGUAACGGAGGAGCACGAAGGUUGGCUAAUCCUGGUCGGACAUCAGGAGGUUAGUGCAAUGGCAUAAGCCAGCUUGACUGCGAGCGUGACGGCGCGAGCAGGUGCGAAAGCAGGUCAUAGUGAUCCGGUGGUUCUGAAUGGAAGGGCCAUCGCUCAACGGAUAAAAGGUACUCCGGGGAUAACAGGCUGAUACCGCCCAAGAGUUCAUAUCGACGGCGGUGUUUGGCACCUCGAUGUCGGCUCAUCACAUCCUGGGGCUGAAGUAGGUCCCAAGGGUAUGGCUGUUCGCCAUUUAAAGUGGUACGCGAGCUGGGUUUAGAACGUCGUGAGACAGUUCGGUCCCUAUCUGCCGUGGGCGCUGGAGAACUGAGGGGGGCUGCUCCUAGUACGAGAGGACCGGAGUGGACGCAUCACUGGUGUUCGGGUUGUCAUGCCAAUGGCACUGCCCGGUAGCUAAAUGCGGAAGAGAUAAGUGCUGAAAGCAUCUAAGCACGAAACUUGCCCCGAGAUGAGUUCUCCCUGACUCCUUGAGAGUCCUGAAGGAACGUUGA
rnacentral:rRNA from 1 species